CCGUGUGUUGGUGUUGUUAGGUGCGUUGUACCUAGUGCUGUAGUGAAUUACCUCGGGAAUGGUGAACGGUCUAAGUGAAUGAUCUUCUUAAGAUAUAUAAUGAUAUGGUGAUGUGCUGAAGGAUCCCUGGUGAUAUUGUGAUGAGUUUCUCCUCCAACAACACGAGUUAUGUUGAUAAACAGCGUCUAGUUUUCUCCCACAAGGAUAAGGCAAGUGUGUUUAUAGCUUCUCGAGGGACAGUUACACCUGGAAACAAAG